AGGAAGAAUGAUACACGAGAUUCGAACAAUUAAGCCUUUCGUCACAACUUCUUCCUAUAAAAAAAAUUGUCCUCUGAUGACUGUAAUUUGUGAAGUUUUAAUUUACAGACAGAUACGGGGCAAACAGAA
rnacentral:snoRNA from 1 species